GUCGUCGGCCGAGACAUUGCGCACGGUCAGGCGGCGCUCGGUGCCCUCCUCCUCGAUGCCGUACUUGGCGCUCGCCCACAACCGCGUCUCCUCCUUGAACCACGCGGCCUCAGUGGACGGCUGGGGCACCUCACAUAGGAACGUGGCCGACUCCUUCUCCCGCACCUCCAGAUCUUGCAGCCGCUUUUUGAAGGGAACCGCGGGCUCUGCCAGGAGAGAAGACUGGAGGAAAGAGGGUUUUCAUUCCCUUCUGAAUGUUAGGAGGGAAGGCAUUUUCCAUCCUUGACCAGCUUGUAGAUGACACACAUUCAGCAAACGCACAUCCCAGCAGCACCGAGAGAACACACAGCUGGGUUGCUUACAAAUACACUACUUCAAAGUAAACUUUCUCUAGUAGCAUAUCAGAAGCAAAGUAAAAUCUAUUUGGAGCAAGUAAAUCUGACUGCUACCCCACUAUUUUGAAGCAUACAUGGGAAGCUGGUUCCUGGACCCCCGCAUAUACCAAAAUCUGUGCAUACUCAAGUUCUACGGUCAGCCCUGUGGAACCCAAGCAUAGGACAAGCCGGCCCUCCCUAUACACACAGGUUUGACAUCCUGAGAACACUGCUGGUUCCCUUCCCAUUU
rnacentral:lncRNA from 10 species